CCUACGGGAGGCAGCAGUGGGGAAUAUUGCACAAUGGGGGAAACCCUGAUGCAGCGACGCCGCGUGAGUGUAGAAGUAUUUCGGUAUGUAAAGCUCUAUCAGCAGGGAAGAAAAUGACGGUACUUGAUCCAGAAGCCCCGGCUAACUACGUGCCAGCAGCCGCGGUACUACGUAGGGGGCAAGCGUUAUCCGGAUUUACUGGGUGUAAAGGGAGCGUAGACGGCAGGACAAGUCUGGAGUGAAAGGCCGGGGCUUAAGGCCGGAACUGCUUUGGAAACUGUGCAGCUAGAGUGCAGGAGGGGUAAGUGGAAUUUCUGGUGUAGCGGUGAAAUGAAUAGAUAUUAGGAGGAACACCAGUGGCGAAGGCAGCUUACUAAUCUGUAACUGACGUUGAGGCUCGAAAGCGUGGGGAGCAAACAGGAUUAGAUACCCUGGUAGUC
rnacentral:rRNA from 1 species